CCUACGGGAGGCAGCAGUGAGGAAUAUUGGUCAAUGGGCGUAAGCCUGAACCAGCCAAGUCGCGUGAGGGAUGAAGGUUCUAGGGAUCGUAAACCGCUUUUAUAAGGGAAUAAAGUGUGGGACGUGUCCUGUUUUGUAUGUACCUUAUGAAUAAGGAUCGGCUAACUCCGUGCCAGCAGCCGCGGUAAUACGGAGGAUCCGAGCGUUAUCCGGAUUUAUUGGGUUUAAAGGGUGCGUAGGCGGCCUUUUAAGUCAGCGGUGAAAGUCUGUGGUUCAACCCUAGAAUUGCCGUUGAAACUGGGAGGCUUGAGUAUGUUUGAGGCAGGCGGAAUGCGUGGUGUAGCGGUGAAAUGCUUAGAUAUCACGCAGAACCCCGAUUGCGAAGGCAGCCUGCCAAGCCAUGACUGACGCUGAUGCACGAAAGCGUGGGGAUCAAACAGGAUUAGAUACCCUGGUAGUC
rnacentral:rRNA from 1 species